UUUCGAAUUCGAUUAUGUGG
rnacentral:miRNA from 1 species